UACGUAGGGUGCAAGCGUUGUCCGGAAUUAUUGGGCGUAAAGGGCUCGUAGGCGGUUUGUCGCGUCGGGAGUGAAAACUCAGGGCUUAACCCUGAGCCUGCUUCCGAUACGGGCAGACUAGAGGUAUGCAGGGGAGAAUGGAAUUCCUGGUGUAGCGGUGAAAUGCGCAGAUAUCAGGAGGAACACCGGUGGCGAAGGCGGUUCUCUGGGACGUUACUGACGCUGAGACGCGAAAGCGUGGGGAGCAAACAGG
rnacentral:rRNA from 1 species